rnacentral:rRNA from 1 species
CAGCCGCCGCGGGAAUACGAGGGGGGCAAGCGUUGUUCGGAAUUAUUGGGCGUAAAGGGUGCGUAGGCGGUUUGGUAAGUCUUGUGUGAAAUCUUCGGGCUCAACCCGAAGCCUACACGAGAAACUGCCGGGCUUGAGUAUGGGAGAGGUGAGUGGAAUUUCCGGUGUAGCGGUGAAAUGCGUAGAUAUCGGAAGGAACACCUGUGGCGAAAGCGGCUCACUGGACCAUUACUGACGCUGAUGCACGAAAGCUAGGGGAGCAAACAGGAUUAGAUACCCCGGUAGUCCCUGUCUCUUAUAC